rnacentral:lncRNA from 1 species
UAUAUAUAAAAAAGAAGAUGUGGCAUGAUUGCCAAUGAGACAACUAUCCACAAAAGACCAAAAUGACACAAACAUUAACAAUUAUAGGUCACCGUACGGCCUUCAACAAUGAGCAAAGCCCAUACCGCAUAUAGUCAGCUAUAAAAGGCCCCGAUAAGACAAUGUAAAACAAUUCAAACGAGAAAACUAACGGCCUUAUUUAUGUAAAAAAAAAAAAAUGAACGAAAAACAAAUAUGUAACACUUAAACAAACGACAACCACUGAAUUACAGGCUCCUGACUUGGGAAAGGCACAUACAUAAAUAAUGUGGCGGGG